GCCGGGAUAGCUCAGCUGGGAGAGCAGCAGACUGAAGUCUUGUACGUCUUCUGAAGGUCGCGUGUUCAAUCCACGCUCCUGGCA